UUAGAAUUUACUUGGAAAGCUAACACAUAAGAAAAUGUCUUCUUUGUAGAGUACUUCUUGUAUGAAAUACAUUUUAUAUACUUGACUUCUAAUCUAA
rfam:Arabis alpina cultivar Pajares Aa.chr2_contig_772, whole genome shotgun sequence.